rnacentral:lncRNA from 1 species
AAAGAAAAGGGAUUUGAUCUUAAAUGGCUGAAUUAUAAUUUUUUUCUAUCAACAAGAUAUUGGAGAAAGUAUAUUGAGUGAACAAUGGAGAAAGAAAAGUGCAUGUUACUCUGAUCUUAAAGUAUAUGGGGUGAACGUUAUGGCCGAUGCAGAAGUAUCUCGAGGAGUAUCUGGAUAAUCUGCUUCAAACUGUUAGCACAUCAGUAGCAGGGGAAAUGGGAUCGACUCAAGAUCAAACGAAUGGGAAACUACUAGGAUCUAUUCAUUUUAUCUCUCAUUUUUUUAUUCAAAUUUCUCAUUUUUUUUAUUCUUUCAUUUGUUAUGUGGACAAUUGAAUGAAACUAAGGAGCCGUUUGG